CUCAAGGUAAUAGCCAAAAUAGCAGCUUUAUUGGAGUGUCCAAUAAAGCUGCUGUUUUAGUUAUUACCUUGAG